rnacentral:pre_miRNA from 1 species
UAUGUACUCCCUCUGUUCGGAAUUACUUGUCGCAGAAAUGGAUGUAUCUAGAUGUAUUUUAGUUCUAGAUACAUCCAUUUCCGAGACAAGUAAUUCCGAACGGAGGGAGUACAUG